rnacentral:lncRNA from 1 species
UAUUUGCAAAUCAAUCGUCGUUAUGUUAAUGUUAAUUAAAAUAUUACAUCGAUUCAAAUACUUGCAAAGUUUCAUGUUUUUAAGUUUACAACUUUAACUUAUAAAUAUCAAAUAGGAUUAAAGAAGUUAUGACUUUUAUUCUAUUAUUAAUCUUCACUUAUUUCAGUUUUAUUCCACUCUUAAUAAGGCCUUAAUGAGACAUGAAUACAAUUGAAUAAACUAAAGGCUGGGCGUUCUGAACCAAUUGAGCUCGUCCUAAUAGCAAUAGACGGGUCGAAACGGGGGACAAGAAGGCCGAGCCCGCGCGCGCCAAACCGGUCGAAAAGAUGAAAUUGCCCCUCGAGGUCUGCGCGCUGAUGAAGGGAGAUGGACAAUUUUAUAACUUCACCCUAACCCUAAUCGUGCAUAUAAAAGGGCCUCUUAAAUCGAAAAACUCUACCUUCUCUCGUUCCUCCUCCUCCUCUUUCUCUCGGCCGCCUCUUCUCCGCCACCUUCGCUGCCACCUAUUCGCCGCCUUGUCGCCGCCUUUCGCGUUACCGCCUAACCGCCGCCUCGACGCAGCCUUCGCCGCCGCAUGUAGCCUUCGCCGCCGCCUUUGCUGCCGCCUUCGCCACUUUUGCUGCCGCCUUCGCCACUUUUGCUGCCGCCUUUGCCGCCGCCUACGUCGUUGCCUCUCCACCUCCUUUGCCGCAGCUUCGCCCACCAACGGCGGCGUCACCACUGUCGUGACUCUCCUUUCCUCUUUUUUCUUCUUCUUCUUUUCCUAGUCCUCCUUUAUUUAUUCACCUCCUCUUCCUCUCUUCCCCCGGUGCCGUCCCCGCUCCUCUCCAUCUUCUCCCUCUCUUCUGUCUAUCUCUGUUUAUCACUGGUGGCCGCCGCCGCUUCCGCCUCCUAUCCUCUCUGUCGGCCCUCAUUAAUGAGAAAAAUGAAGAAAACGUAAAAAAAAAACUCUAAAACCCAUCUCUUACUCACGUUUUUGCUGAUUUUUUCCAGAUCAGGGCUUGCAUGUCGUCAGAGGAUGCUCCAACGAGUCUUCCGGUGAUAUACAAGCCCCGAUCUGUAGAUCUAGGCUUGAAUACUUUUCUUAAAUUGUUUUUCCGACCUUGUUGCUUUGUUUGGUAUGUUUUUUUUCGUGUUUGGGGGUGGAAUCGACGGUGAGGAAGCAGAAGACCUGGGUGGUAUGUAGGCCACGACGCCGGCGGCGGCGAAGGAGAG